AUUACUUUGGCAGAAAAAUGCUUUAAAUUUAGAUUUUAAAAAUGUAUAUAUAUAAUAUAUAUACAAGUAAUA
rnacentral:tRNA from 1 species